rnacentral:rRNA from 1 species
ACGGAAGGCAGCAGUGGGGAAUAUUGCACAAUGGGGGAAACCCUGAUGCAGCGACGCCGCGUGAGUGAAGAAGUUAUUCGUAAUGUAAAGCUCUAUCAGCAGGGAAGAAAAUGACGGUACCUGACUAAGAAGCCCCGGCUAACUACGUGCCAGCAGCCGCGGUAAUACGUAGGGGGCAAGCGUUAUCCGGAUUUACUGGGUGUAAAGGGAGCGUAGACGGUCUGGCAAGUCUGAUGUGAAAGGCAGGGGCUCAACUCCUGGACUGCAUUGGAAACUGUCAGUCUUGAGUGUCGGAGAGGUAAGCGGAAUUCCUAGUGUAGCGGUGAAAUGCGUAGAUAUUAGGAGGAACACCAGUGGCGAAGGCGGCUUACUGGACGAUAACUGACGUUGAGGCUCGAAAGCGUAGGGAGCAAACAGGAUUAGAUACCCUGGUA